rnacentral:misc_RNA from 1 species
GAAAUGCGAUAAGUAAUGUGAAUUGCAGAAUUCAGUGAAUCAUCGAAUCUUUGAACGCACAUUGCGCCCGCCAGUAUUCUGGCGGACAUGCCUGUCCGAGCGUCAUUUCAACCAUCAAGCCCCCGGGCUUGUGUUGGGGACCUGCGGCUGCCCGCAGGCCCUGAAAACCAGUGGCGGGCUCGCUGUCACACCGAGUGUAGUAGCAAUCACCUCGCUCAGGGCGUGCUGCGGGUUCCGGCCGUUAAACAGCCUUACAAAACCCAAGGUUGACCUCGGAUCAGGUAGGAAGACCCGCUGAACUUAAGC